rnacentral:rRNA from 1 species
AGAAUCAACGCUGGCGGCGUGCCUAACACAUGCAAGUCGAACGAGAAAGUGGAGCAAUCCAUGAGUAAAGUGGCGACCGGGUGAGUAACACGUGACUACCUACCCUUGAGUGGGGGAUAACCUCGGGAAACCGAGGCUAAUACCGCAUAAUAUCGAAAGAUCAAAGGAGUAAUCCGCUUUUGGAGGGGUCGCGGCUGAUUAGCUAGUUGGUAGGGUAGUGGCCUACCAAGGCGAAGAUCGGUA